rnacentral:rRNA from 1 species
CAAUAGCGUAUAUUUAAGUUGCUGCAGUUAAAGCUCGUAGUUGGAUUUCGGGUGGGAAUGGCCGGUCCGCCGUUUCGGUGUGCACUUGCUACGCCCACCUUGCUGCCGGGGACGUGCUCUUGAGUUCACGCUCGGGACGCGGAGUCGGCGAGGUUACUUUGAGUAAAUUAGAGUGUUCAAAGCAGGCCUACGCUCUGAAUACAUUAGCAUGGAAUAACACGAUAGGACUCUGGCCUAUCUUGUUGGUCUGUAGGACCGGAGUAAUGAUUAAGAGGGACAGUCGGGGGCAUUCGUAUUUCAUUGUCAGAGGUGAAAUUCUUGGAUUUAUGAAAGACGAACUACUGCGAAAGCAUUUGCCAAGGAUGUUUUCAUUAA